GAACACAGCAGUUAAGCUCUUCAGCGCCGAUGGUAGUUGGGCUUAAGCCCCGCGAGAGUAGGACGUCGCUAAGC
rnacentral:rRNA from 1 species